rnacentral:rRNA from 1 species
GACAGAGGGUGCAAACGUUGUUCGGAAUUACUGGGCGUAAAGCGCGUGUAGGCGGUUGGGUAAGUCGGAUGUGAAAGCCCCGGGCUCAACCCGGGAAGUGCAUUCGAUACUACUUGGCUAGAGUACUGGAGAGGAUGGUGGAACUCUCGGUGUAGAGGUGAAAUUCGUAGAUAUCGAGAAGAACACCAGCGGCGAAGGCGGCGCUCUGGGCCGGAACUGGACGCUGAGGAGCGAAAGCGUGGGGAGCAACAGG